rnacentral:rRNA from 1 species
AGGGUUUGAUUCUGGCUCAGGAUAAACGCUGGCGGCGUGCCUAACACAUGCACCACGAACGCGCUUCGCAAGAAGCGAGUGGCGGACGGGUGAGUAACACGUGGGAACCUACCUUGAGGUGAGGGAUACCGGCGAGAAAUCGCCGACAAGCCCGCAUGUGCUUCUCUUGGGAAGCAAAGCUCUUUUGAGAGCGCCACAGGAUGGGCCCGCGGCCGAUUAGCUAGUUGGUGGGGUAAAAGCUCACCAAGGCGUCGAUCGGUAGCUGGUCUGAGAGGACGAUCAGCCACACUGGGAUUGAGAACGGCCCAGACUCCUACGGGGGGCAGCAGUGAGGAAUUUUCCGCAAUGGAGGAAACUCUGACGGAGCAACGCCGCGUGCAGGAAGACGGCCUUCGGGUUGUAAACUGCUUUUCUGUGGGAAGAGCAAGGACGGUACCACAGGAACAAGCCCCGGCUAACUACGUGCCAGCAGCCCGCGGUAAUACG